GUCGAGCGAGAACCGUAGCAAUACGGGGACAGCGGCGAAAGGGACAGUAAUGUGUAGGUACCUACCCCUGGGUUCGGGAUAGCUGCGGGAAACUGCAGGUAAUACCGAAUAAUGUCUCCGGACCAAAGGUGUGAUUCCACCUGGGGAGGGGCCUGCAUCCUAUUAGCUAGUUGGCGGGGUAACGGCCCACCAAGGCAACGAUGGGUAGCGGGUGUGAGAGCACGACCCGCGUCAUUGGGACUGAGAUACUGCCCAGACACCUACGGGUGGCUGCAGUCGAGGAUCUUCGGCAAUGGGCGAAAGCCUGACCGAGCGACGCCGCGUGCGGGAUGAAGGCCUCCGGGUUGUAAACCGCUGUCGUUGGGGAGGAAGUGCAGGGGGGUUCUCCCCUCUGUUUGACCUAUCCAAGGAGGAAGUACGGGCUAAGUUCGUGCCAGCAGCCGCGGUAAGACGAACCGUACGAACGUUAUUCGGAAUUACUGGGCUUAAAGGGUGCGUAGGCGGCGCGGUAAGUUGGAUGUGAAAGCCCUCAGCUCAACUGAGGAACUGCAUUCAAAACUACCGUGCUCGAGGGAGACAGAGGUAAGCGGAACUCAAGGUGGAGCGGUGAAAUGCGUUGAUAUCUUGAGGAACACCGGUGGCGAAGGCGGCUUACUGGGUCUUUUUCUGACGCUGAGGCACGAAAGCUAAGGUAGCAAACGGGAUUAGAUACCCCGGUAGUCUUAGCUGUAAACGAUGAGCACUUGUUUGAAGGGUCCUCCAUAGCCUUUCAGACGUAGCGAAAGUGUUAAGUGCUCCGCCUGGGGAGUAUGGUCGCAAGGC
rnacentral:rRNA from 1 species